CCCAAAUAUCUUUUUUGAAUUUCUAAAGAAAAAAAAUAUCAUGAUCACCACUAUCAAACACUUUUUAGCUCCUCUUUUCUCUUCUUCAUAAUCACAUAAAGAAAUAUUUGAUUUGGUUUUGCAAAACAUAAUAGACUAGAAGAAAAAGGCAAUACAAGAACAUUUUUUCUCAAAUUAAAACUAAAAAAAAAUACCUCUUCUUUUAUUUGUAAAACUAUGAAGAAAAAAAUACAUAGAGGAAUAAUUGAUAUUUUUCUCAAUUUGCCGUCUAUAAAUUAAAAGAGCUUUAUUUUGCUAAAGAGACAACAAAGGUUAGAAUUUAAAAGUAAGCAAAAGAGCAACAUUUAGAAUAUCCAUGUCUCUGUAAUUGGUUACAUUCUUUGCGGAUUCUUAAGAAGAUAAGUAAAUAAUGUGAUUGUUCAAACAACUAUUAAACUAUUAUUUGAUGAUUCAUCAAUGAGUAAGCUUACUUUGCUUGUCAUAGUGGUGAUUGUGGGAUUUUGGUUAAGGGAGCUUGAAGGUGUUUGGUGUUUAGUGAGGUGAUGAUAACUUUUUUUUUCUUCCCAUGAUUUCAA
rnacentral:lncRNA from 1 species